AGAAAGCGUAAUAGCUCACUGGUCGAGUCGGCCUGCGCGGAAGAUGUAACGGGGCUAAACCAUGCACCGAAGCUGCGGCAGCGACACUGUGUGUUGUUGGGUAGGGGAGCGUUCUGUAAGCCUGCGAAGGUGGCCUGUGAGGGUUGCUGGAGGUAUCAGAAGUGCGAAUGCUGACAUAAGUAACGAUAAAGCGGGUGAAAAGCCCGCUCGCCGGAAGACCAAGGGUUCCUGUCCAACGUUAAUCGGGGCAGGGUGAGUCGACCCCUAAGGCGAGGCCGAAAGGCGUAGUCGAUGGGAAACGGGUUAAUAUUCCCGUACUUGGUGUUACUGCGAAGGGGGGACGGAGAAGGCUAUGUUGGCCGGGCGACGGUUGUCCCGGUUUAAGCGUGUAGGUGUGUGUUCCAGGUAAAUCCGGUUCACUUUAACACUGAGGCGUGACGACGAGGCACUACGGUGCUGAAGCAACAAAUGCCCUGCUUCCAGGAAAAGCCUCUAAGCAUCAGGUAACAUCAAAUCGUACCCCAAACCGACACAGGUGGUCAGGUAGAGAAUACCAAGGCGCUUGAGAGAACUCGGGUGAAGGAACUAGGCAAAAUGGUGCCGUAACUUCGGGAGAAGGCACGCUGACACGUAGGUGAAGUGAUUUACUCAUGGAGCUGAAGUCAGUCGAAGAUACCAGCUGGCUGCAACUGUUUAUUAAAAACACAGCACUGUGCAAACACGAAAGUGGACGUAUACGGUGUGACGCCUGCCCGGUGCCGGAAGGUUAAUUGAUGGGGUCAGCGCAAGCGAAGCUCCUGAUCGAAGCCCCGGUAAACGGCGGCCGUAACUAUAACGGUCCUAAGGUAGCGAAAUUCCUUGUCGGGUAAGUUCCGACCUGCACGAAUGGCGUAAUGAUGGCCAGGCUGUCUCCACCCGAGACUCAGUGAAAUUGAACUCGCUGUGAAGAUGCAGUGUACCCGCGGCAAGACGGAAAGACCCCGUGAACCUUUACUAUAGCUUGACACUGAACAUUGAGCCUUGAUGUGUAGGAUAGGUGGGAGGCUUUGAAGUGUGGACGCCAGUCUGCAUGGAGCCGACCUUGAAAUACCACCCUUUAAUGUUUGAUGUUCUAACGUGGACCCGUUACCCGGGUUGCGGACAGUGUCUGGUGGGUAGUUUGACUGGGGCGGUCUCCUCCUAAAGAGUAACGGAGGAGCACGAAGGUUGGCUAAUCCUGGUCGGACAUCAGGAGGUUAGUGCAAUGGCAUAAGCCAGCUUGACUGCGAGCGUGACGGCGCGAGCAGGUGCGAAAGCAGGUCAUAGUGAUCCGGUGGUUCUGAAUGGAAGGGCCAUCGCUCAACGGAUAAAAGGUACUCCGGGGAUAACAGGCUGAUACCGCCCAAGAGUUCAUAUCGACGGCGGUGUUUGGCACCUCGAUGUCGGCUCAUCACAUCCUGGGGCUGAAGUAGGUCCCAAGGGUAUGGCUGUUCGCCAUUUAAAGUGGUACGCGAGCUGGGUUUAGAACGUCGUGAGACAGUUCGGUCCCUAUCUGCCGUGGGCGCUGGAGAACUGAGGGGGGCUGCUCCUAGUACGAGAGGACCGGAGUGGACGCAUCACUGGUGUUCGGGUUGUCAUGCCAAUGGCACUGCCCGGUAGCUAAAUGCGGAAGAGAUAAGUGCUGAAAGCAUCUAAGCACGAAACUUGCCCCGA
rnacentral:rRNA from 1 species